rnacentral:rRNA from 1 species
UAGGGAAUCUUCCGCAAUGGACGCAAGUCUGACGGAGCAACGCCGCGUGAGUGAAGAAGGAUUUCGGUUCGUAAAACUCUGUUGUUAGAGAAGAACAGCGCAUAGAGUAACUGUUAUGCGUGUGACGGUAUCUAACCAGAAAGCCACGGCUAACUACGUGCCAGCAGCCGCGGUAAUACGUAGGUGGCAAGCGUUGUCCGGAUUUAUUGGGCGUAAAGCGAGCGCAGGCGGUCAAUUAAGUCUGAUGUGAAAGCCCCCGGCUCAACCGGGGAGGGUCAUUGGAAACUGGUUGACUUGAGUGCAGAAGAGGAGAGUGGAAUUCCAUGUGUAGCGGUGAAAUGCGUAGAUAUAUGGAGGAACACCAGUGGCGAAGGCGACUCUCUGGUCUGUAACUGACGCGGAGGCUCGAAAGCGUGGGUAGCAAACAGG